rnacentral:sRNA from 1 species
GCCACUCACGCCAUCUGCUAAUGGGACAGCUCACUAUUCCCUCCAAACCAUGGCCUUGGCUCAAGAGCUUCCUUGUUUCUGGAAUGUUCUUUCCUCCAGCUGCAGGUGUUGGAAUUCUGCCUGGUCUGGGUCUCCUGUUGAAGGACGCCCUCCACAGGGAAGGAUCCUCUUGCCUUCACCACUUGCCUUCACCAGCCCCUGCUCCCCUCUUCCUCUUGGGGCUGUUGUGGUGGUUGUUACUUUUUUUUGUUGUGUUUGACACACUCCUUGUUCUCACCCUCUAACACAGUUCUCAACCACAGCACUUUUGUCCCUGGGGAUGUUUGGCAGUGUCCAGAGACGUGUUGAUGGUCCCACUGGGGUUGGGGGUGCUGCAGGCAUCUGGUGGGGAGACGCCAGGGGUGCUGCUCCACGCCCUAUGGGAUACCGCACAGUACACCUGGCCCGUGUCCCCCACAGCGAGAGCUGGCCCUGGGCAGGCGUGGUCCCUGUGGUGUGUGUUGGUUGGGAUCCUCCACAGUGACAGACGGUGCCCUCUGCCCACGUCUCCACACAGCUCUUUUGCUUGUGGAGCUCACCCCUUUGCAGAGAGCUCAUUUCCCUGCCGUCUUUGGCCUGCAGAAGUAAAAUGAGGGGUGGUGAAUUACACCCCUGCUGGUUACACAUGGAAAACUCAGGAGCAAGAAUUUUGUGGAGAGCAAGAGAGGCGAGACUUGGGUGCUGGCUGCCAGCCAGGCGGUCCCUCAGCCCCUGGAGAAGCGGGGUGGGGCCUGCACACCGAGUCCUUCCAGUGAGUCCAGUGAUGCUCUCUUUCUCCUCUUCCCCCCAGUCACCUUUCUCUCCAGUGCCACUACUGCGCUUUCGAUGCGGAAUAAUUCAGUAUUUGGUGACUUGAAGUCGGACGAGAUGGAGCUGCUCUAUGUAGCCUACGGAGAUGAGACAGGUGUGUAGUGUGCGCUGAGCCUGCAGGAGUUUGUGAAGGAUGCUGGGAGCUACAGCAAGAAAGUGGUGGACGACCUCCUAGACCAGAUCACAGGCGGAGACCACUCCAGGACGCUUUUCCAGCUGAAGCAGAGAAGAAAUGUUCCCAUGAAACCUCCAGAUGAAGCCAAGGUUGGGGACACCCUAGGAGACAGCAGUGGCUCUGUUCUGGAGUUCAUGUCGAUGAAGUCCUAUCCCGACGUCUCUGUGGAUAUCUCCAUGCUCAGCUCUCUGGGGAAGGUGAAGAAGGAGCUGGACCCUGACGACAGCCAUUUGAACUUGGAUGAGACGACCAAGCUCCUGCAGGACCUGCACGAAGCACAGGCGGAGCGCGGUGGCUCUCGGCCGUCGUCCAACCUCAGCUCCCUGUCCAACGCCUCCGAGAGGGACCAGCACCACCUGGGAAGCCCUUCUCGCCUGAGUGUCGGGGAGCAGCCAGACGUCACCCACGACCCCUAUGAGUUUCUUCAGUCUCCAGAGCCUGCGGCCUCCGCCAAGACCUAGCUCUAGACCACCUUCAGCUCUUUUAUUUUAUUUUUUAAGUUUUAUUUUGCACAUGUAGAGUUUUUGUCAUCAGACAAGGACUUUGAUCCUGUCCCCUUUGGCAUGCGGGAAGCAGCCCCGGGGAGGUAAUGAAUUGUCUGUGGUAUCAUGUCAGCAGAGUCUCCAAGCCCCAUGAACCCUGAGGAGUGGAGUCAUACGCGAAGGCCGUGUGGCCAGGCCGCAGAGCUGCGUGCUGUCUGUGUCCGAGCAUCACGUGUGGCUCCAGCCCUUGUUUCUGCCAGUGUAGACACCUCUGUCUGCCCCACUGUCCUGGGGUCGCUCUUGGGAGGCACAGGCAUGGGUGUGUCUGGCCUCAUUCUGUAUCAGUCCUGCGUGUUCCUGUCAUAGUUUGUGUUUCCCAGGCAGGCCAUGGUAGGGGCCUUGCAGGGGCCAGUGGGGAGCACGGGGCCAGGCUGGGGUGAGGAGAGCUCCCCUGUUUUCUGUUUAAUUGAUGAGCCUGGGAAAGGAGUGUGUUCUGCCUGCCCGUUACAGUGGAGCGUUCCGUGUCCAUAAAACGUUUUCUAACUGGG